UCUACAGUUUCUCAUAAAUGGCAUGGUCCUAGGUGUCGGCGGCUUAUUGGAACAGAGCAGAAAGGCUCGGGGAGGGGCGUCCAUGAUGCCUAGAUCGCUGGCAGCCAAAGGCUAAAAUGAUAGUUGACCCAGGAACAGAUAUUGAUAAUAUGCUGUCGAGUGUCCAGAGAAAAGAGCAAUCUGCCUGGUGAAGGGAGGGGAGGAUAAGCCAGAGGCAGAUUGAGCUGGAGAAAAGUAAACAGUAGGGUGGAACUAGAGCCUUGAAUACUAGAGGCAAGCCAGAAACGACCCUGAUGGAGACAGUCCAGGAUCCUGAAUCCAAGAGUACUGGGGACAGCAGUGCUCCUAGCACAGUGUCAAAUGAUUCAAUAUCAGAAAGACACCUGGAGCCCCAUUUGCAAAGUGUUGCUUGGAUGUUAGCCACAGUUUACAUAUGCCCUGACUCCAUGCCUCAGCAUGGUUGCAUUCUCAUCUUUACCAGCUCUACCCCUUUCCUGUGUCUUUUCUUCCACUCACUUAUCUCUCUAUAAAACUACCUGGAAUUUGUAGUCAAUUAGUUUGUGUUAAACUAUAGACUAGAGGUUCCCUGGAAGGGACCCACAUGGAUCUAGUUUAGACAUUUAGAGACCAUCAGACCAUGUUUUGACUUUUGAUUAUGUAAGGUAUAGUUGGGAGAUAAACACACACACACACACACACACACACACACACACACACACACACACACACACACAGCAGCCAGGUGGCACACAGUGGAAUAGAGUUGCAAGCCUGGAGUCAAAAGAUUCCAAAUUCAAAUCUGGUCUCAGACCCUUCCCAGCUGUGUGACCCUGGGCAAGUCACUUAACUCCCAUUGCCUAGCCCUUACUGCUCUUCUGCCUUAGAACCAAUAUACAGUAUUG
rnacentral:lncRNA from 1 species